UACGUAGGGAGCAAGCGUUGUCCGGAAUCAUUGGGCGUAAAGCGCGCGUAGGUGGCCUCAUAAGUCCGCUGUGAAAGUCAAAGGCUCAACCUUUGAAAGCCGGUGGAUACUGUGAGGCUAGAGUACGGAAGAGGCGAGUGGAAUUCCUGGUGUAGCGGUGAAAUGCGCAGAUAUCAGGAGGAACACCGGUGGCGAAGGCGGGUCUCUGGGCCGAUACUGACGCUGAGGAGCGAAAGCGUGGGUAGCGAACAGG
rnacentral:rRNA from 1 species